rnacentral:rRNA from 1 species
GACGAACGCUGGCGGCGUGCCUAAUACAUGCAAGUCGAGCGCAGGAAACCGUCUGAACCCUUCGGGGGGACGACGGCGGAAUGAGCGGCGGACGGGUGAGUAACACGUAAAGAACCUGCCCACGGGUCUGGGAUAACCACGAGAAAUCGGGGCUAAUACCGGACGGGUCAUCGGACCGCAUGGUCCGAGGAUGAAAGGCGCUCCGGCGUCGCCCGUGGAUGGCUUUGCGGUGCAUUAGCUAGUUGGUGGGGUAACGGCCCACCAAGGCGACGGUGCAUAGCCGACCUGAGAGGGUGAUCGGCCACACUGGGACUGAGACACGGCCCAGACUCCUACGGGAGGCAGCAGUAGGGAAUCUUCCACAAUGGACGAAAGUCUGAUGGAGCAACGCCGCGUGAACGAUGAAGGCCCUCGGGUCGUAAAGUUCUGUUGUAAGGGAAGAACAAGUGCCGCAGGCAAUGGCGGCACCUUGACGGUACCUUGCGAGAAAGCCACGGCUAACUACGUGCCAGCAGCCGCAGUAACAC